GCUGGGUUCAGAACGUCGUGAGACAGUUCGGUCCCUAUCCGGCGUGGGCGUAGGAUAUUUGAGAGGAGCUGUCCUUAGUACGAGAGGACCGGGAUGGACUGACCUCUGGUGUAUCUGUUGGCUAUCAAAGCCAUGGCAGAGUAGCCAAGUCGGGAAGGGAUAAACGCUGAAGGCAUCUAAGCGUGAAGCCCCCCUCAAGAUGAGAUAUCCCAUCGCAAGAGUAAGACCCCUUGAAGACGACGAGGUAGAUAGGGCAGAGGUGGAAGCAUGGCAACAUGUGCAGCUGACUGUCACUAAUAGGUCGAGGGCUUAACCAG
rfam:[Clostridium] celerecrescens strain 152B c50, whole genome shotgun sequence.